UCCGUAGGCGGGCAAUUAAGUCAGAGGUGAAAUCCCACAGCUCAACUGUGGAACUGCCUUUGAUACUGGUUGUCUUGAGUUACAGUGAAGUAGAUAGAAUAUGUAGUGUAGCGGUGAAAUGCAUAGAUAUUACAUAGAAUACCGAUUGCGAAGGCAGUCUACUAACUGUAUACUGACGCUAAUGGACGAAAGCGUGGGGAGCGAACAGGAUUAGAUACCCCUGGUAGUC
rnacentral:rRNA from 1 species